rnacentral:rRNA from 1 species
UACGUAGGCAGCAAGCGUUGUUCGGAAUUACUGGGCGUAAAGAGUGUGUAGGCGGUGCUCUAAGUUCGGUGUGAAAUCUCCCGGCUCAACUGGGAGGGUGCGCCGAAAACUGGAGUGCUGGAGCGCGGGAGAGGAAAGCGGAAUUCCUGGUGUAGCGGUGAAAUGCGUAGAUAUCGGGAGGAACACCAGAGGCGAAAGCGGCUUUCUGG